rnacentral:rRNA from 1 species
UUAAGUUAUUAAGGGCGCACGGUGGAUGCCUUGGCACUAGAAGCCGAUGAAGGACGUUACUAACGACGAUAUGCUUUGGGGAGCUGUAAGUAAGCUUUGAUCCAGAGAUUUCCGAAUGGGGAAACCCAGCAUGAGUUAUGUCAUGUUAUCGAUAUGUGAAUACAUAGCAUAUCAGAAGGCACACCCGGAGAACUGAAACAUCUUAGUACCCGGAGGAAGAGAAAGAAAAUUCGAUUCCCUUAGUAGCGGCGAGCGAAACGGGAAGAGCCCAAACCAACAAGCUUGCUUGUUGGGGUUGUAGGACACUCUAUACGGAGUUACAAAGGACGACAUUAGACGAAUCAUCUGGAAAGAUGAAUCAAAGAAGGUAAUAAUCCUGUAGUCGAAAAUGUUGUCUCUCUUGAGUGGAUCCUGAGUACGACGGAGCACGUGAAAUUCCGUCGGAAUCUGGGAGGACCAUCUCCUAAGGCUAAAUACUCUCUAGUGACCGAUAGUGAACCAGUACCGUGAGGGAAAGGUGAAAAGCACCCCGGAAGGGGAGUGAAAUAGAACCUGAAACCGUGUGCUUACAAGUAGUCAGAGCCCGUUAAUGGGUGAUGGCGUGCCUUUUGUAGAAUGAACCGGCGAGUUACGAUUUGAUGCAAGGUUAAGCAGUAAAUGUGGAGCCGUAGCGAAAGCGAGUCUGAAUAGGGCGUUUAGUAUUUGGUCGUAGACCCGAAACCAGGUGAUCUACCCUUGGUCAGGUUGAAGUUCAGGUAACACUGAAUGGAGGACCGAACCGACUUACGUUGAAAAGUGAGCGGAUGAACUGAGGGUAGCGGAGAAAUUCCAAUCGAACCUGGAGAUAGCUGGUUCUCUCCGAAAUAGCUUUAGGGCUAGCCUCAAGUGAUGAUUAUUGGAGGUAGAGCACUGUUUGGACGAGGGGCCCCUCUCGGGUUACCGAAUUCAGACAAACUCCGAAUGCCAAUUAAUUUAACUUGGGAGUCAGAACAUGGGUGAUAAGGUCCGUGUUCGAAAGGGAAACAGCCCAGACCACCAGCUAAGGUCCCAAAAUAUAUGUUAAGUGGAAAAGGAUGUGGCGUUGCCCAGACAACUAGGAUGUUGGCUUAGAAGCAGCCAUCAUUUAAAGAGUGCGUAAUAGCUCACUAGUCGAGUGACACUGCGCCGAAAAUGUACCGGGGCUAAACAUAUUACCGAAGCUGUGGAUUGUCCUUUGGACAAUGGUAGGAGAGCGUUCUAAGGGCGUUGAAGCAUGAUCGUAAGGACAUGUGGAGCGCUUAGAAGUGAGAAUGCCGGUGUGAGUAGCGAAAGACGGGUGAGAAUCCCGUCCACCGAUUGACUAAGGUUUCCAGAGGAAGGCUCGUCCGCUCUGGGUUAGUCGGGUCCUAAGCUGAGGCCGACAGGCGUAGGCGAUGGAUAACAGGUUGAUAUUCCUGUACCACCUAUAAUCGUUUUAAUCGAUGGGGGGACGCAGUAGGAUAGGCGAAGCGUGCGAUUGGAUUGCACGUCUAAGCAGUAAGGCUGAGUAUUAGGCAAAUCCGGUACUCGUUAAGGCUGAGCUGUGAUGGGGAGAAGACAUCGUGUCUUCGAGUCGUUGAUUUCACACUGCCGAGAAAAGCCUCUAGAUAGAAAAUAGGUGCCCGUACCGCAAACCGACACAGGUAGUCAAGAUGAGAAUUCUAAGGUGAGCGAGCGAACUCUCGUUAAGGAACUCGGCAAAAUGACUCCGUAACUUCGGGAGAAGGGGUGCUCUUUAGGGUUAACGCCCAGAAGAGCCGCAGUGAAUAGGCCCAAGCGACUGUUUAUCAAAAACACAGGUCUCUGCUAAACCGUAAGGUGAUGUAUAGGGGCUGACGCCUGCCCGGUGCUGGAAGGUUAAGAGGAGUGGUUAGCUUCUGCGAAGCUACGAAUCGAAGCCCCAGUAAACGGCGGCCGUAACUAUAACGGUCCUAAGGUAGCGAAAUUCCUUGUCGGGUAAGUUCCGACCCGCACGAAAGGCGUAACGAUUUGGGCACUGUCUCAACGAGAGACUCGGUGAAAUCAUAGUACCUGUGAAGAUGCAGGUUACCCGCGACAGGACGGAAAGACCCCGUGGAGCUUUACUGUAGCCUGAUAUUGAAAUUCGGCACAGCUUGUACAGGAUAGGUAGGAGCCUUUGAAACGUGAGCGCUAGCUUACGUGGAGGCGCUGGUGGGAUACUACCCUAGCUGUGUUGGCUUUCUAACCCGCACCACUUAUCGUGGUGGGAGACAGUGUCAGGCGGGCAGUUUGACUGGGGCGGUCGCCUCCUAAAAGGUAACGGAGGCGCUCAAAGGUUCCCUCAGAAUGGUUGGAAAUCAUUCAUAGAGUGUAAAGGCAUAAGGGAGCUUGACUGCGAGACCUACAAGUCGAGCAGGGUCGAAAGACGGACUUAAUGAUCCGGUGGUUCCGCAUGGAAGGGCCAUCGCUCAACGGAUAAAAGCUACCCCGGGGAUAACAGGCUUAUCUCCCCCAAGAGUUCACAUCGACGGGGAGGUUUGGCACCUCGAUGUCGGCUCAUCGCAUCCUGGGGCUGUAGUCGGUCCCAAGGGUUGGGCUGUUCGCCCAUUAAAGCGGUACGCGAGCUGGGUUCAGAACGUCGUGAGACAGUUCGGUCCCUAUCCGUCGUGGGCGUAGGAAAUUUGAGAGGAGCUGUCCUUAGUACGAGAGGACCGGGAUGGACAUACCUCUGGUGUACCAGUUGUCGUGCCAACGGCAUAGCUGGGUAGCUAUGUGUGGACGGGAUAAGUGCUGAAAGCAUCUAAGCAUGAAGCCCCCCUCAAGAUGAGAUUUCCCAACUUCGGUUAUAAGAUCCCUCAAAGAUGAUGAGGUUAAUAGGUUCGAGGUGGAAGCAUGGUGACAUGUGGAGCUGACGAAUACUAAUCGAUCGAAGACUUAAUCAA